rnacentral:rRNA from 1 species
GGCUUAUUGAUAAAGGAUUUUAGGUCUAGCCUGCCCCCUGAGGUAUUUAAAUGGCCGCAGUAUUUUGACUGUGCUAAGGUAGCAUAAUAAUUAGUUUUUUAAUUGAAAGCUGGAAUGAAUGGUAUUAUGAAAAAAUUACUGUCUCUUUUAAAAAAUUAAAAUUUUAUUUUUAAGUUAAAAAGCUUAAAUAUUAUUAAAAGACGAGAAGACCCUAUAGAAUUUUAUUUAAAUUAAUUUUUAAUAAAUUAGUAUACAAAAUUUAAAAAUAAAUUUAUAUUUAGUUGGGGUGAUUAGAAAAAUUAAGGAUCUUUUUUUUAUAUUAACAUUAAUUUAUGAUUUUAUGAUUCACAUUAGUGAUUUAAGAAUAAAUUACCUUAGGGAUAACAGCGUAAUUUUUUUUUAGAGUUCUAAUCAAAAAAAAAGAUUGCGACCUCGAUGUUGGAUUAAAAUUUAUUUUUGGUGUAGUAGCUAAAAUAUUAAGUCUGUUCGACUUUAAAAAUUUUACA